UUAAACUCUCCCUUCUAUCUUCAAAAAUAAAUAAAUAAAUAAAUACAUUUUAUAUUCUCUUCUUAAAAAAACAACCUUUAACAAAUACAAAAACCCUCUCGUAACGUACCAGAGAUCUCCAAAAACCGACAGACAAUCCUUGUUAAAGACUAAGGUAUAUUUCUCCAAAAACCGACGGACAAUCCUUGUUAAAGACUAAGGUAUAUUUCAAAACCAUUUCCUUUUAUCAUAUUAAAGAAUAACAACAACAACAACACUUAUAUUAAUAGUGAAAGCAAUGAUAAUAGUUGUAUGAUGCUUUCCAGCUAAAUUCUAAUGCUUCUCAGUUAAAUUCUAACGCUUUCCAGUUAAAUUCUGAUGAGUGUUAAAGUCUGAUGCUUCUCAGUUAAAUCCUCACGAGUCCAGUCAAAUUUUGAUGCAUCUCAGGUUAAAUUUUUACGAGUCUAGUUAAAUCCUCGGUUAUUUUUUAUGGGUCCACUUAAAUUCUGAUCAGUUAAAUUAUAAUGGGUCUAGUUAAACUCUGAUGCUUCUCAGUGAAAAUACUUUGCUUCUUGCCCCCGUGCGACUUAGAUACAUCCCUUGCAGCCGGCACAAAGUCAAGGGAGCCAGGUCUUUUGUCAAAGGAGCUAAGGGGAUGUUUGUCUUUUUUGUGAAAAGCUCUUCUUGAUCUCUUAUGUCUGCCCCACGCAGACCACGCGCAGACGUUUGAGUCUGCAGUGUGUUUGUUUUUUCUGUCUGCUCGUCCUCUUUUUGGAGCAGAUGUCUCAAGUCUUCUAACCUCUUGUCCUCCUCUUCUAAACAGACCAUAGAUCCUCCACACAAACCGUAGCACCUUCUUCUUCUUCACCCCUUCCUCCUCCCAACUCCCCCACCUCCCCCACCUCCACAGCCACCGCCGACAACCCCCUACCUCCACCGCCGCCGACAACCCCUACCUCCACCGUUGCCGACAUCCCCUACCUCGACUGUCGCAAAAUUAGUUAAGUAUGCGUAUCCGGCGUAAGCCUAGCUUGAACGAUCUUACCCAUAUACAAACCUUGCAUCCUCCUUUGUUUCACAAGCUUUCACCAUCGAAAUCCUGAUCUUUUCAGCUGCACCCACAAACUAAUUCUUGAUCAAGAUCGUUAGCAAUGAUGCAAAAGACUCAACACUGGUUUAAAAUUGGGUCUUUGUGACAAAAGAUUGAAAAAAGAGAGAGUUGUGUGUGGGUUCAAAUUAGGGUUCUUGGUGAAAAAAGAAGUGAUUUUUGAUGGAGAGAUUGAUGGAAUUAUGGAUCUGAGAGAUCGGUUUUUCUGCGAAUUGGGUGAAGAUAUUAGAUGUGAAAUCUUCUUCUUGUUCUUCAAUUGGUGAUGAUAAAUAUUAUGAUGGGGAACAGGGAAGUAGAGAUAUGAGAAUAAAGAUUUGAACUUGAUGGUGGAUUCAUGUGUGGAGUGUUUGAGGAUGAAUGUUGAUCGUAUCAUCAUCCAUGUAGUGGUUAUGUUUGAGUUAUUUAUCAGUUUAUUUGUAUUUCAAUUUAUUUCAGCAACUUGCAGAAGUUAAAAAACAAACAGUCUUCUUCUUGCAUACUGCAGAGGUUUGGUCCAACUCUUCAGCUACAGAUGUCUGUAGAUGUGGUCCAAGACUGUAGACGUUUUACCUCUGAAAAAACAAACAACACUUAAGUGUCAGAAAUAGGUCUUAUCCUGGUCUUGACCUCACGUACGACUUUGGACACACCCUUGUAGUCAACACAAGGUCGUAAAAGUCAUCAUUUUGGCUUACUUUAGGUAUGGUCUCGCACGCGACCUGAGGCUAUCUAAUGUGGCCGGCGCAGGGUUUGGGACCAUACCCCUUCAGCGUUGGACUCAUUCCAUAAAUCAUUUGUUCGGCACAAGUUCAUACGAUGCCUUGAGCGGGGUCAAGACUCAAGAGUGAAGUUUAAAACUUUAGGAUUAAUCUGAAGAUCCUUGUUAAUUUGUGUUUCCUAAUCAUGAUGUAUUAGGCCUUCGGGCUUGGGUUUUACUUAUGUCUUGUAUUUAGACGUUAGUUAAUUAAUGAAAUUAUGUCGUUUGU
rnacentral:lncRNA from 1 species